GGGCGUAAAGCGUGUGUAGGCGGUUCGUUAAGUCGGAUGUGAAAGCCCUGGGCUCAACCUAGGAAUUGCAUUCGAUACUGGCUGACUGGAGUGCGGUAGAGGGUAGUGGAAUUCCCGGUGUAGCAGUGAAAUGCGUAGAUAUCGGGAGGAACAUCCGUGGCGAAGGCGACUACCUGGACCAGCACUGACACUGAGGCACGAAAGCGUGGGGAGCAAACAG
rnacentral:rRNA from 1 species